rnacentral:snRNA from 1 species
GUGUUACUUUGGUCGCACAUAUACUAAAAUUGGAACGAUACAGAGAAGAUUAGCGACGUGCAAAUUCGUGAAGCAAAUACAACCUAA